rnacentral:rRNA from 1 species
AAUAUUGGACAAUGGGGCAACCCUGAUUCAGUCAUGCCGCCGGUGUGAAGGAGGGCCUCGGAUUGUAAAGCAUCUUAAGGUGGGUGGAAGGGCCUUUGGUUAAUACCCCUAAGUUUUGACGUUACCAACAAAAUAAGCAACGGCUUACCUCUUGCCAGCACCCCCGGUAAUACAGAGGGUGCAAGCGUUAAUCGGAAUUACUGGGCGUAAAGCGCGCGUAGGUGGUUCAGUAAGAUGGGUGUGAAAUCCCCGGGCUUAACCUGGGAACUGCUUUCAUAACUGCUGAGCUAGAGUACGGUAGAGGGUAGUGGAAUUUCCUGUGUAGCGGUGAAAUGCGUAGAUAUAGGAAGGAACACCAGUGGCGAAGGCGACUACCUGGACUGAUACUGACACUGAGGUGCGAAAGCGUGGGGAGCAAAC